AUUGAACGCUGGCGGCAGGCCUAACACAUGCAAGUCGAGCGGAGCGGCGGACGGGUGAGUAAUGCCUAGGAAUCUGCCUGGUAGUGGGGGAUAACGUCCGGAAACGGGCGCUAAUACCGCAUACUAUCAGAUGAGCCUCGGUCGGAUUGGCUUUCUGGUGGGGUAAAGGCUUACCAAGGCGACGAUCCGUAACUGGGCGGAGAGGAUGAUCAGUCACACUGGAACUGAGACACGGUCCAGACUCCUACGGGAGGCAGCAGUGGGGAAUAUUGGACAAUGGACGAAAGCCUGAUCCAGCCAUGCCGCGUGUGUGAAGAAGGUCUUCGGAUUGUAAAGCACUUUUGGUUGGGAGGCGGUAUCCACAGAAGAAGCACCGGCUAACUCCGUGCCAGCAGCCGCGGUAAUUC
rnacentral:rRNA from 1 species